CGAAUACCGGAGAAUGUUAUCACGGGAGACACACGGCGGGUGCUAACGUCCGUCGUGAAGAGGGAAACAACCCAGACCGCCAGCUAAGGUCCCAAAGUCAUGGUUAAGUGGGAAACGAUGUGGGAAGGCCCAGACAGCCAGGAUGUUGGCUUAGAAGCAGCCAUCAUUUAAAGAAAGCGUAAUAGCUCACUGGUCGAGUCGGCCUGCGCGGAAGAUGUAACGGGGCUAAACCAUGCACCGAAGCUGCGGCAGCGACGCUGAUGCGUUGUUGGGUAGGGGAGCGUUCUGUAAGCCUGCGAAGGUGUGCUGUGAGGCAUGCUGGAGGUAUCAGAAGUGCGAAUGCUGACAUAAGUAACGAUAAAGCGGGUGAAAAGCCCGCUCGCCGGAAGACCAAGGGUUCCUGUCCAACGUUAAUCGGGGCAGGGUGAGUCGACCCCUAAGGCGAGGCCGAAAGGCGUAGUCGAUGGGAAACAGGUUAAUAUUCCUGUACUUGGUGUUACUGCGAAGGGGGGACGGAGAAGGCUAUGUUGGCCGGGCGACGGUUGUCCCGGUUUAAGCGUGUAGGCUGGUUUUCCAGGCAAAUCCGGAAAAUCAAGGCUGAGGCGUGAUGACGAGGCACUACGGUGCUGAAGCAACAAAUGCCCUGCUUCCAGGAAAAGCCUCUAAGCAUCAGGUAACAUCAAAUCGUACCCCAAACCGACACAGGUGGUCAGGUAGAGAAUACCAAGGCGCUUGAGAGAACUCGGGUGAAGGAACUAGGCAAAAUGGUGCCGUAACUUCGGGAGAAGGCACGCUGAUAUGUAGGUGAAGUCCCUCGCGGAUGGAGCUGAAAUCAGUCGAAGAUACCAGCUGGCUGCAACUGUUUAUUAAAAACACAGCACUGUGCAAACACGAAAGUGGACGUAUACGGUGUGACGCCUGCCCGGUGCCGGAAGGUUAAUUGAUGGGGU
rnacentral:rRNA from 1 species